AUACGGAGGGUGCGAGCGUUGUUCGGAAUUAUUGGGCGUAAAGCGCGUGUAGGCGGUCUUUUAAGUCUGAUGUGAAAGCCCUGGGCUCAACCCAGGAAGUGCAUUGGAUACUGGAAGACUUGAAUACGGGAGAGGGUAGUGGAAUUCCUAGUGUAGGAGUGAAAUCCGUAGAUAUUAGGAGGAACACCGGUGGCGAAGGCGGCUACCUGGACCGAUAUUGACGCUGAGACGCGAAAGCGUGGGGAGC
rnacentral:rRNA from 1 species